rnacentral:rRNA from 1 species
GACGAACGCUGGCGGCGUGCCUAAUACAUGCAAGUUGAGCGAUGAAGCCUGGUGCUUGCACCAAUUUGAAGAGCAGCGCACGGGUGAGUAACGCGUGGGGAAUCUGCCUUUGAGCGGGGGACAACAUUUGGAAACGAAUGCUAAUACCGCAUAACAACUUUAAACAUAAGUUUUAAGUUUGAAAGAUGCAAUUGCAUCACUCAAAGAUGAUCCCGCGUUGUAUUAGCUAGUUGGUGAGGUAAAGGCUCACCAAGGCGAUGAUACAUAGCCGACCUGAGAGGGGGGGCGGCCAGAUUGGGACGGUGACACGGCACAAACUCCUACGGGAAGCAGCAGGAGGGAAUCUUCGGCAAUGGACGAGAGUCUGACCGAGCAACGCCGCGGGAGUGAAGAAGGAUGUCGGAUCGUAGAACUCUGUUGGUAGGGAGGAACGUUGGUGAGAGUGGAAAGCUCAUCAAGUGACGGUAACUACUCAGAAAGGGACGGCUAACUACGUG